rnacentral:rRNA from 1 species
GACGAACGCUGGCGGCGUGCUUAACACAUGCAAGUCGAACGGAAAGGCCCUGCUUUUGUUGGGUGCUCGAGUGGCGAACGGGUGAGUAACACGUGAGUAAACUGCCCUUGACUUUGGGAUAACUUCAGGAAACUGGGGCUAAUACCGGAUAGGAGCUCCUGCUGCAUGGUGGGGGUUGGAAAGUUUCGGCGGUUGGGGAUGGAUUCGCGGCUUAUCAGCUUGUUGGUGGGGUAGUGGCUUACCAAGGCUUUGAAGGGUAGCCGGCCUGAGAGGGUGAACGGGCACAAUGGGCCUGCGAUACGGCCCAGACUCCUACGGGAGGCAGCAGUGGGGAAUAUUGCACAAUGGGCGGAAGCCUGAUGCAGCAACGCCGCGUGCGGGAUGACGGCCUUCGGGUUGUAAACCGCUUUCGCAUGUGACGAAGCGUGCGUGACGGUAAUGGGUAAAGAAGCACCGGCUAACUACGUG